rnacentral:lncRNA from 1 species
GUGAGAUAUGACCUUCCUGGUACAGUCCGCUGGAAAAAGAGAAGAAAGCCUCGGAUGGGCAUGAGUGCAACUUUCUAAAUACAGUGUGCAGUGAUCAGUUCCCAAGGAUGGUUCUUACAAGGAGAAAAUCCAGAAACUAUCAAUUGGCUACCUUGAUGUGAUCCUCUUCAUGAGGAAGCUUGGACUUCUCCCUGCUUCACAGAUGGGUUACGAGAUAGUCCAGAGAAGCUGCAUUCUAAGAAGCAUUAUGACCUGUCUUCUUAGAAACAACACGGCAUCACUUUUACCACAUUCUUUUGGUCACAAGGAGAGGGAAUUACACAUCACCUGAUUUUGGAUGCAUGUGUGAGGUAUGCUACUGUACUCACAAGACAUCUGAAACUAUACCCAGAUCAUCUAGAAGUGAACAUGUUCCAGGUGAUGUCCCUAUGUAAACCAAGGGUUGGUUUUCAGUGGUAAAAAGUCAAUUAACCACUGGUGGGCAAUAUCCAAAAUUGAUAGCAGAAACAGAAAAAUAAAAGACUACUCAGCAAAGACAAGUAGAGUGUAAGCAUCACAUAGGCUGGAAACUUUGUUUGCUGUUUUCUGUUUGUUUGUGUCCGUUCUCUUCUGUAUCCCAAGCAUCUGGAAUGAGGACUGGCACAUAGCUAUUGUUCAAUAAAUGCUUGUUGAUAAAUAAAAAUGCUGGAAUUAUUUGACUUCUCUUUAUCAACUGUAGGCAACACCAAACUUGUAUGCAGGAAAGAAAGAUAUAGGAUUAAUGAAAUGAAGAAUUUGGGGAUGGUUUACUCUAAC